rnacentral:rRNA from 1 species
GACGUAGGGUCCAAGCGUUGUCCGGAAUUACUGGGCGUAAAGCGCACGUAGUCGGCUUUGCAAGUCGGUUGUGAAAUCCCCGGGCUCAACCUGGGAACUGCAUCCGAGACUGCAUUGCUAGAGUAUGGGAGAGGAAAGCGGAAUUUCUGGUGUAGCAGUGAAAUGCGUAGAUAUCAGAAGGAACAUCAGUGGCGAAGGCGCUUUCUGGACCAAUACUGACGAUCAGGUGCGAAAGCGUGGGGAGCAAACAGG